rnacentral:rRNA from 1 species
CGCGGCCUAUCAGCUUGUUGGUGGGGUAGUGGCCUACCAAGGCGACGACGGGUAGCCGGCCUGAGAGGGUGACCGGCCACACUGGGACUGAGACACGGCCCAGACUCCUACGGGAGGCAGCAGUGGGGAAUAUUGCGCAAUGGGCGAAGGCCUGACGCAGCGACGCCGCGUGGGGGAUGACGGCCUUCGGGUUGUAAACCUCUUUCAGUAGGGACGAAGCGUAAGUGACGGUACCUACAGAAGAAGCACCGGCCAACUACGUGCCAGCAGCCGCGGUAAUACGUAGGGUGCAAGCGUUGUCCGGAAUUAUUGGGCGUAAAGAGCUCGUAGGCGGUCUGUCGCGUCGGCUGUGAAAACCCGGAGCUCAACUCCGGGCCUGCAGUCGAUACGGGCAAACCGGAGUACUGCAGGGGAGACUGGAAUUCCUGGUGUAGCGGUGAAAUGCGCAGAUAUCAGGAGGAACACCGGUGGCGAAGGCGGGUCUCUGGGCAGUAACUGACGCUGAGGAGCGAAAGCGUGGGGAGCGAACAGGAUUAGAUACCCUGGUAGUCCACGCCGUAAACGUUGGGCGCUAGGUGUGGGGGCCAUUCCACGGUCUCCGUGCCGCAGCUAACGCAUUAAGCGCCCCGCCUGGGGAGUACGG